rnacentral:rRNA from 1 species
UCCUGUACUACCGAUAACCGUUUGAGAGAAGGGAUGACACAGUAGGAUAAGCUAAGCACACUGUUGGUUAUGUGUGCCCAAGCAUUGAGGCAGUCAAAGUAGGCAAAUCCGCUUUGAUAAUGCUGGGAUGUGAUGGGGAGCGAAAUUUAGUAGCGAAGUAGCUGAUUUCACACUGUCAAGAAAAGUCUCUAUCGAGGUUAAAGGUACCCGUACCGAAAACCGACACAGGUGGGUGAGGAGAGUAUCCUAAGGCCAGCGAGAGAACUGUUGUUAAGGAACUCGGCAAAAUGACCCCGUAACUUAGGGAUAAGGGGUGCCACCAUCAGGUGGCCGCAGAGAAUAGGCCCAAGCGACUGUUUACCAAAAACAUAGGUUUCUGCUAAGUCGCAAGACGAUGUAUAGG